CGCCCGCGUGCCGUCGCCAAUUGUGGAGUGUUUUGUUUUUUUUUUUCGUUUUCACGUGCUUAAGAGUGUGUUUGUUUUUUUUGUCGUGCGUUUUUUUAAUUGACGGGCCAGGGAGCAACCACAACAACAACAACAACAACAACCUGAAAACCUGAAAGAAAAAAAAAAUACAAAGAAAAAAGAAGAAGGAUAAAGCUCCAAAACCCAAAAAAUCCAAUGCAAAAGUGAAAUGUAAACAAUGAGAAAGUGCAGUCAGUGGAAAGUGUAGCAUACUGUUCGGGGCCUGUCCCAAUAAUUCCAAAACACCAGCCAGAGUAGAAAGUCAAAAACUCAAAAACUCAAACUCGAAAGUUUUGUGAGGACUAGCACCAGCCACCCACCUGUGCGAAAGGCGCUAAGUAGCAGGCCUCGCAAGGACAACCCGACCAGGACCCAACCAAACCAAACCAAACCAAAUAGAGGGC
rnacentral:sRNA from 1 species